CCUACGGGAGGCAGCAGUGGGGAAUAUUGGACAAUGGGCGAAAGCCUGAUCCAGCAAUGCCGCGUGAGUGAUGAAGGCCUUCGGGUCGUAAAGCUCUUUUACCAGGGAUGAUAAUGGCAGUACCUGGAGAAUAAGCUCCGGCUAACUCCGUGCCAGCAGCCGCGGUAAUACGGAGGGAGCUAGCGUUGUUCGGAAUUACUGGGCGUAAAGAGUACGUAGGCGGUUAUUCAAGUCAGAGGUGAAAGCCCGGGGCUCAACCCCGGAACUGCCUUUGAAACUAGAUAACUAGAGUCUUGGAGAGGUUAGUGGAAUUCCGAGUGUAGAGGUGAAAUUCGUAGAUAUUCGGAAGAACACCAGUGGCGAAGGCGACUAACUGGACAAGUACUGACGCUGAGGUACGAAAGCGUGGGGAGCAAACAGGAUUAGAUACCCUGGUAGUCCACGCCGUAAACGAUGAUAACUAGUUGUUCGGUCACUUGGUGACUGAGUGACGCAGCUAACGCAUUAAGUUAUCCGCCUGGGGAUACGGUCGCAAGNUUAAAACUUAAAUGAAUUGACGGNUGNGANGCGAGCGACACGAGGAGAG
rnacentral:rRNA from 1 species